rnacentral:rRNA from 1 species
AUUGAACGCUGGCGGUAUGCUUAACACAUGCAAGUCGAACGAUGAGAAAGAGCUUGCUCUUUCGAUUAGUGGCGGACGGGUGCGUAACGCGUAGGAAUCUACCUAUUAGUGGGGGACAACUUAGGGAAACUUAAGCUAAUACCGCAUACGCCCUACGGGGGAAAGAAGGGGAUCGCAAGACCUUUUGCUAAUAGAUGAGCCUGCGUAGGAUUAGCUAGUUGGUGGGGUAAAAGCUCACCAAGGCGACGAUCCUUAACUGGUUUGAGAGAAUGACAAGGCACACUGGAACUGAGACACGGUCCAGACUCCUACGGGAGGCAGAAGUGGGGAAUAUUGGACAAUGGGCGAAAGCCUGAUCCAGAAAUACCGCGUGUGUGAAGAAGGCCUUAGGGUUGUAAAGCACUUUCAAUUGGAAGGAAAACCUCGAAGCUAAUACCUUCGAGUUUGACAUUACCUUUAGAAGAAGCACCGGCUAACUCCGUGCCAGCCGCCGCCGUAA